UCUGCAAUGCUGACUAAAUGCAAAGCAUGCAUUCCCGACCUGCAACAUUAAACUUAUGGCUCUUGAGACAUUCUCUUAUACUCAUAACAAAACAAUCAUCUCUAGAUUUUUUAUUCGUAUUGUAUUGUCUAUUUAAUGUUUGUAUUUGAGGAUGUGCUCUGGUUCUCUCUCAGCUAAGCCAGAUGCUCGAUGGCGAACUCCCCUCUCUGGACUGUGUUGAGGUCGAGCCUCAGAGAGAGGCCCUCCAGGGCAUACUGGAUGUCCUGUCUGACAAUGGACUGGAGACCGAGGACCCCAACAGUCCUCUUGGUGCUUUUCACCUCGUUACCAGUGCCCUGGCUGGUAAGUGGGCCUGACCGUCACUGUAGUUUGUAGCGUAGCUCCUGCACAGUAGUUGCUGUGUCACAUCUCAAGCUAAAUAUUAGUGUGAAAUGUUCACACCCGGUUUUCCAGAAAUGCCGGAUGACGGCCUUGCUGUCCUGGUGUCGAGCUGCACUCCCCCAGAUCCCAAGAUGCUGAGAUCCCUGGAGCUGCUGAUGCAGUGUUUUAUCGAGAAUGGGGAGAUGUCUCUGAGCAGUGAUGACCUCGCUCCCCUGACCGAGGAGACCUUCCAGUUGACAGAGGAGCUCUUCAACUCCUGUGGAGUGGGUCUGCAGAGAGACGGAGACGUGCUGAGGACGAAAUUCAGCGGUACCUGUGAGCCGCAGCCUCUCAUCCUGUACAUUGCCAUCAAAGGCCUUGCUUCCCUAUAGCCUGGUGUUAAUUAGGGACAGGUAUCACCAGGAUGCUCACAAUAUGAUAUCACAGGGGUUUUCGUAGACCAUUAUUAUAUGGAUUGCGAUUCGUUGUAUUUUGCGAUACAAUGAUAUUCCCACUUUUAGUGAAAUGUUAUCUUUUGUUUCUGGCUUUCUAUUAUUUCUUUAAAAAAAGUUAUUUUAUGUCACCCUGACAAUUUUGGAAGCAAAGAAUUUAGAUUCUCACAUGAAUUUGAUGUUUUUAUACAAUUUGUUCUCAUUGCGUUUAAAUCAUUGAAUAACCUUAAUAAAGACAACAAUCAAAUUUGUUAUUUACUGCAUUCCAGCCUUCUCUCCCAUAAAAAAACAUAAAAGUUCUGUGUUUUAAAUCAGCAAAGGUUUAUAUAUUUGCUAGGUAUUUCAUUUAUUUGAUAGAUAUUAUGGCAUUGUAGAUAUUAGGCUGAUAAUUGAUGAUAUUGAUAAAUUCAGGCUCAGGGUUAUACAAUGUGAUUAUUCUCUAGAUUUAUCACUUACUGCCUUCAAUCUUAAACUGCUGAUAUAAGCUUAAACCCUUCUUAAACUAUGGUUCUUAAACCCCUCCUUCUUAUGAAAUAAAUCGGUUUUCCCUCAG
rnacentral:lncRNA from 1 species